rnacentral:rRNA from 1 species
AACAGGAUUAGAUACCCUGGUAGUCCACGCCGUAAACGAUGUCGACUUGGAGGUUGUGCCCUUGAGGCGUGGCUUCCGGAGCUAACGCGUUAAGUCGACCGCCUGGGGAGUACGGCCGCAAGGUUAAAACUCAAAUGAAUUGACGGGGGCCCGCACAAGCGGUGGAGCAUGUGGUUUAAUUCGAUGCAACGCGAAGAACCUUACCUACUCUUGACAUCCAGAGAACUUUCCAGAGAUGGAUUGGUGCCUUCGGGAACUCUGAGACAGGUGCUGCAUGGCUGUCGUCAGCUCGUGUUGUGAAAUGUUGGGUUAAGUCCCGCAACGAGCGCAACCCUUAUCCUUUGUUGCCAGCGGUCCGGCCGGGAACUCAAAGGAGACUGCCAGUGAUAAACUGGAGGAAGGUGGGGAUGACGUCAAGUCAUCAUGGCCCUUACGAGUAGGGCUACACACGUGCUACAAUGGCGCAUACAAAGAGAAGCGACCUCGCGAGAGCAAGCGGACCUCAUAAAGUGCGUCGUAGUCCGGAUUGGAGUCUGCAACUCGACUCCAUGAAGUCGGAAUCGCUAGUAAUCGUGGAUCGGAAUGCCACGGUGAAUACGUUCCCGGGCCUUGUACACACCGCCCGUCACACCAUGGGAGUGGGUUGCAAAAGAAGUAGGUAGCUUAACCUUCGGGAGGGCGCUUACCACUUUGUGAUUCAUGACUGGGGUGAAGUCGUAACAAGGUAACC